UACGUAGGGUGCAAGCGUUGUCUGGAAUUAUUGGGCGUAAAGAGCUCGUAGGCGGCUUGUCGCGUCGGCUGUGAAAACCUGGGGCUCAACCCCGGGCCUGCAGCCGAUACGGGCAAGCUAGAAUUCGGUAGGGGAGACUGGAAUUCCUGGUGUAGCGGUGAAAUGCGCAGAUAUCAGGAGGAACACCGGUGGCGAAGGCGGCGACCUGGGUCGAUACUGACGCUGAUGCGCGAAAGCGUGGGGAGCAAACAGG
rnacentral:rRNA from 1 species